GAUGAAGAACGUAGUGAAAUGCGAUACGUAAUGUGAAUUGCAAAUUCAGUGAAUCAUCGAGUCUUUGAACGCACAUUGCGCCCCCUGGUAUUCCGGGGGGCAUGCCUGUCCGAGCGUCAUUGCUGCCCUCAAGCACGGCUUGUGUGUUGGGCCCCGUCCUCCGAUCCCGGGGGACGGGCCCGAAAGGCAGCGGCGGCACCGCGUCCGGUCCUCGAGCGUAUGGGGCUUUGUCACCCGCUCUGUAGGCCCGGCCGGCGCUUGCCGAUCAACCCAAAUUUUUAUCCAGGUUGACCUCGGAUCAGGUAGGGAUACCCGCUGAACUUAAGCAUAUCGAUAAGCGGAGGA
rnacentral:misc_RNA from 1 species